GACAGAGGGUGCAAACGUUGUUCGGAAUUACUGGGCGUAAAGCGCGUGUAGGCGGCUCGGAAAGUCGGGUGUGAAAGCCCUGGGCUUAACCCAGGAAGUGCACUCGAAACUUCCGAGCUGGAGUCCUGGAGAGGAAGGCGGAAUUCUCGGUGUAGAGGUGAAAUUCGUAGAUAUCGAGAGGAACACCGGUGGCGAAGGCGGCCUUCUGGACAGUGACUGACGCUGGAGACGCGAAAGCGUGGGGAGCAAACAGG
rnacentral:rRNA from 1 species